GUGGGGAAUAUUGGACAAUGGGGGGAACCCUGAUCCAGCCAUGCCGCGUGUGUGAAGAAGGCCUUUUGGUUGUAAAGCACUUUAAGCGAGGAGGAGGCUACCGAGAUUAAUACUCUUGGAUAGUGGACGUUACUCGCAGAAUAAGCACCGGCUAACUCUGUGCCAGCAGCCGCGGUAAUACAGAGGGUGCGAGCGUUAAUCGGAUUUACUGGGCGUAAAGCGUGCGUAGGCGGCUUUUUAAGUCGGAUGUGAAAUCCCCGAGCUUAACUUGGGAAUUGCAUUCGAUACUGGGAAGCUAGAGUAUGGGAGAGGAUGGUAGAAUUCCAGGUGUAGCAGUGAAAUGCGUAGAGAUCUGGAGGAAUACCGAUGGCGAAGGCAGCCAUCUGGCCUAAUACUGACGCUGAGGUACGAAAGCAUGGGGAGCAAACAGGAUUAGAUACCCGAGUAGUCC
rnacentral:rRNA from 1 species